AUGCUUAACACAUGCAAGUCGAACGGAAAGGCCCUUCGGGGUACUCGAGCGGCGAACGGGUGAGUAACACGUGAGCAAUCUGCCCUUAGCUUCGGGAUAGCUCCGGGAAACCGGAAUUAAUACCGGAUAUGACUUCGGCUGACAUCGGCCAUGGUGGAAAGAUUUAUCGGCUAAGGAUGAGCUCGCGGCCUAUCAGCUUGUUGGUGGGGUAAUGGCCUACCAAGGCGACGACGGGUAGCCGGCCUGAGAGGGCGACCGGCCACACUGGGACUGAGACACGGCCCAGACUCCUACGGGAGGCAGCAGUGGGGAAUAUUGCGCAAUGGGCGAAAGCCUGACGCAGCGACGCCGCGUGCGGGAUGAAGGCCUUCGGGUUGUAAACCUCUUUCAGCAGGGACGAAGCGAGAGUGACGGUACCUGCAGAAGAAGCGCCGGCUAACUACGUGCCAGCAGCCGCGGUAACACGUAGGGCGCGAGCGUUGUCCGGAAUUAUUGGGCGUAAAGAGCUCGUAGGUGGUCCGCUACGUCUGCUGUGAAAAUCCAGGGCUUAACCCUGGACUUGCAGUGGAUACGGGCGGACUAGAGGCAGGCAGGGGAGAAUGGAAUUCCCGGUGUAGCGGUGAAAUGCGCAGAUAUCGGAAGGAACACCAGUGG
rnacentral:rRNA from 1 species